CUAAUGGCUAUGAUAAGGAGAGUAGUAUAGAUUAUACUUUUUCAGAGAGAUAAUCCAUGGCUGGAAGAUUAUCAAUGUAUAUCUUUAUGAAAAUCACCUUUGAGCCAGAUAUCUGAAACCUUGCAGGGUAUUAAGGUAUCUCGCUGAUGAGCGUUAAAAUAAAUAAGUGAUAGGAUUUACCUAUAAUUUGGGUGGUACCGCGGAAAAAUUUUCGUCCCUAAG
rnacentral:ncRNA from 1 species